CCUGGCCCUAGAGGAUUGCAGCUGUGGCUGAUGUGUCACCUGUAUGUCAGUAGGUGGCAGAGAGGAGACAGGCUAUGACUAUGCUCAGUGACCUAUGAACAUCUCAAUAAUUAGCCACCUAACAUU